AUUGAACGCUGGCGGCAGGCCUAACACAUGCAAGUCGAGCGAGCGGCGGACGGGUGAGUCAUAGAUGGCGGCUGCCAGAUAGAGAGGAAUACCUACUGGGAACGGUAGUUACUACUGCAUACUGUCGAGUAACCCAUAUGGGAUUAGCUAGUAGGUGAGGUAAUGGCUAACCUAGGCGACGAUCCCUAGCUGGUCUGAGAGGUUGAUCAGCCACACUGGGACUGAGACACGGCCCAGACUCCUACGGAGGCAGCAGUGGGGAAUAUUGCACAAUGGGCGCAAGCCUGAUGCAGCCAUGCCGCGUGUAUGAAGAAGGCCCUAGGGUUGUAAAGUACUUUCAGUCGGGAGGCGUUACCGACAGAAGAAGCACCGGCUAACUCCGUGCCAGCAGCCGCGGUAAUAC
rnacentral:rRNA from 1 species